CGGUCUUUGCCACUCAAUAACUGUGUGAUUAAGCCUCAUCUACUUAUCUUCUAAAUGAAAUUAAUAGUAUUUACUUCACUUUUCUCAUCUCUAAAAUGGUGAUAAUAAUACCUAUCCUCCUAGCAUGAUGGUAAGGAUGAAGCGAGAAUAAAAGCUAGCAUGUAGAAAAUAGUAACCAAAGUUACCUAUUGAUAUUUUUCUGUGAUUAUCUUAAUUAGCUACAGUAUAGCAUUCUUACAUGAAGUACCUGGAUGUGGUAAAUAAUCAAUAAACAGCAGCUAUUAUUAUUAACAGGGCACAUUUUUGUAUUGGUGCAGGUCUGCUGGUGGAAAUAGAUGAAAGGAGGAGAAAUCCUGUGUGUGACAGUACAAAUGCAAAAAUAAAACCAAAAACAACAAUAAGAAAGCAGAAGUGGAAGGAAAAGAAUCUUAGCUUGAGUCAACCAACUUGUUACCAGAAUUCAGUUAUUAAAAAUCUCUACAGUGAUGUUAGCAGAGCUCAAAUCCUUAUGAACCCAAACUCCCAAAACACUGGAUCCGGUGAGAUGGCUGGAGCUCAGCAGGGUCAGCAUGAGGAACACCACGAGGACUGCUGAAACACCACAUUCCCAUGGCUGUGGCAGGACAGUGGGGUGGCUGGAAGGCACAGUGUCUGUGAAUCUGUGGUCCUCGGCAAGGGGUGUGACCGCAUGGUGGGUCGCCUGACCUAUGAGCAGAGAUGGAAGGAAGAAUGCCAAUUUGGAGGCAGAUGUGGGAGGUAGGAGUGCUAUGGCAACACAAUGUGGAAAUAGGGAGUUCUCUUCAGGCGUGAUGCUCACAGUUUAUAUAAUUCUAUUGAUCUAUGUAUUUACCUACCUACCUCUAUGUGUGCGUUUGUCUGGGUGUGGGGUGGAGCAGUGUGAGGUGGGUUCAGGAACUGUGUUUGUGAGGGCUGUCUGGGGAGACAGAACCAAUAGGAGCUAUAUCUAUACUGAUGUUAGUAUCUCUACAGAUAUAGAUAGAUGAGAGGGGAUGUAUUAGGGGAAUUGGCUCACAUGGCCUUGGUGACUGAGAAGUCCCACCACAGUCCAUCUGCAAGCUGGAGACCCUGGGAUGCAGGUAGUGUGGCUUCAGGGCAAGUUCAAAGACCUCAGAAUCAAGGGAGCGUAUCUGCCUUGAGGAUGAGAUCGGGAAAAAGCCUGCAAGCAUGUGUUUGAAAGGAGGUGAGAGAGGAAGAUCAAGAAGGGUUUUCCCGAAUUACGGUUGCAACGCAAGAAAGGGAAAGGUGAGAAGAGGGACCCGAGCCCAGGCCUUGGGAGGAAGAGGAGGAAGAAGAGGGGUGUGGGCCCG
rnacentral:lncRNA from 1 species